UAAAAUUAAGCGUGUAAACCUCUUGGUGGGACACCCGGUAUUUGACAUCUAACAAUUAAAUUAUCGUUGUUGCAACAACGAUAAUCAUGGUUAUCCAUCUUGUUUUCACUGGAAUAUUAUUACUAUUGUAUUGUAACUUUAAAGUGACACUCCAUGUCACCACCACCACUAUAAUGUGGCCGUCGCCACACCAAAGAAUAUGAGUGUUUUUUCACUUUAAAGUUAUAUAAGAAUACAAUAGUAAUCAAAUUAUAUAUAGGCCUACUUGAAUUUGUAAUAAAUUGUGGAUGUGUAUUUGACAUCGAACAAUAUUAAAUUAUGUAUUUGAAUUGGUAACAAAGUAUACAUUUCAAGGAUGAUUAAUGAGUAAAAUUCAAUGUCAAUCGAUCACUUAUAUUGAUAAGAUAGGAAUGAGAAUGAAUGAGCAAGUAAUAUGUCUUGAAUUUAUUUAUCCCUUACAAACUGCUAUAUGUUACAUCAAGUUUUGCCACUAGAAUGACGACUUGCAGACUAUUUAGGUAUAUCAAUUGUCAAAAAAUGUAAAAUAUUUACUCACAGACUGGAGCACUAGAAGUCCACUACUGUUAACAAUGAAUCACGUGCGAUUCCAAAGGCUGAUUUACACGGUGCCAGUCGGCUUGCCAGUUAACAUAGUCAGUCACUGGAUGCCAACGACUGGUACUGUGUAAACGGCUCAUGCCAGUAACUCGCUCGAGAAGCCAGCAAGCCAAGGACGCGCCAGCAGCUGGCAGAUCCAGCAGAACAAAUAUUUUGUUUUACUGGCGCGCCACCUUCAUGUCAGCCUCAUCACAGCUUUAUAUUCUUGCGGGUCAUUAGCAUGAAGCUCUCUGAUGCUCCCAAAGUCUUGUUGUCCAUUAACUCUCGUAUCAACGUUUCUCGGCCUUUCCGCUGUAACUCGUGGGUUAGAUAUUCCACGCACACACUUUUCAACGGCAACUCUGUGUGGCGUUUCUGCCAUUUGUUAAAAAAACAAGAUCUGCACUACUUUCAGAUAAACCACGCUCACUGUGGAACAACACCAACACAUCCGACUUGUUCCAGUAGCUGGCAACGUGUAAACAGGGUACGGGGUACCGCUUUUAAGCUGACAUGCCAGUCGCCGCUUGCCAUUGACCUUCCAGUCAAUAUUCAAACUGGCAUGCCAGCCACUGGCAUCGUGUACAUCAGCCUUAUAGCAUAUACUCUAGUCAAGUUGGGUGGAUACUGGAUGUAGUUGACUUUGGUGAAAACAGCGAAUGGCAGAGCGCAUACAAAGGACACAGUCCAUAGUGCGCAAAUUAUCCACAUGGCGCGCCUCAAACCCGACAUUGAUUGAAUUUAAUCAUGAUCUAGACGGAUUAAGCAGUGGAACAAAUAAGCUGUGAAGAGAUUCAUAUUGAAUAGACUAUGUAAUGGAACUUAUAAUAAUAAUUAUUGUAUUGACUCCAAAUUACUGUAUGACGAAACUCUAUGUUUGUAAAAGCUCUUGAGCUAAUAAAACAUAAUUAUGUAAAAUUUUUCACAAUAAUUACUACAUUCCAGUUUAAAAACGCCUGAUUUUUUAAAUUGUUACUGUUGAAUUUUUUCAUUAGAAAUCUUCAUUAUU
rnacentral:lncRNA from 1 species